rnacentral:rRNA from 1 species
AACGAACGCUGGCGGCAUGCCUAACACAUGCAAGUCGAACGAGACCUUCGGGUCUAGUGGCGCACGGGUGCGUAACGCGUGGGAACCUGCCCUUAGGUUCGGAAUAACUCCCCGAAAGGGGUGCUAAUACCGGAUAAUGUCUUCGGACCAAAGAUUUAUCGCCGUUGGAUGGGCCCGCGUUGGAUUAGCUAGUUGGUAGGGUAAAAGCCUACCAAGGCGACGAUCCAUAGCUGGUCUGAGAGGAUGAUCAGCCACACUGGGACUGAGACACGGACCAGACUCCUACGGGAAGCAGGAGUGGGGAAUAUUGGACAAGGGGGGAUAGUCUGAUCCAGCAAUGCCGGGUGAGUGAUGAAGGCCGUAGGGAUGUAAAGCUCUUUUACACGGGACGAUAAUGACGGUACCGGGAGAAUAAGCACCGGCUAACUACGUG